rnacentral:misc_RNA from 1 species
AUACAUUGUUUGUGUGCUAAUUUUUCGUCGUUUCGUAAGAUUUUCGACGAGUUCUUUGUUGUUGAUAUUUGAUUUUCGACCGAUUAUGAUGGUUCCGAUUUAUUCCGACGUUUCCGAGGAAAGCAAGCUUACUGUCUUCGGAAGUCGUCAUAGAUUGGAUUCUAUUGUACACAGCAUUUGUACUUCAGGUGAUAGAGACAGAUAUGAGAUUUUAGGUGAUUGGGCUGUCGCAUCGUAUGUCACGCGUAUGCUGACAGAUCUCUUCAAACAUAAUGCUGAUGCUGAAUCUCUGUCGUUGCUUCGCGCUCAUAAUAUUUCUAAUGUUAUGUUCGCAAAAGUCAUGGUAGAAUCAAAACUCUUCGAAGAUUUUUAUCUUUGGUUGACUCCCGACCAAAUGCAGUUGUGUAGGAAGACUUUCGCCGGUGGGAGAAGUUUGUAUGAGGUCAAUGUUAAAUUCUUAGCCAACUAUUUUGAGAGAAUCGUUGGUUGGUUGGUUGUGCAUGAUUGUUCAGAAAGUGUUGAGAAGUUUCUUGAUCUUUUCUUGAAACCUCAUAUGUCUUUCCACAUUAAGAAACCUGCCCGUUCUAUUCUUGAAGAAUGGGCUAUGAAGAAUAACAAGAGACUUGACAUUCAUACUGGUGAGUAUAAUGUCAACAAGGUAGUUUAUGUCCUAGUCGACGGACAAGAGGUCAGUCGGGCUAGUGAUUUGAUUAGUAAGAAGAGAGCAAUUUCAAAAGCGGUUUCUUUCGCUGUUGAAGCUCUAAAUCUGAGUUGAAUCCAUGGAGUACUCUGCUAUUUUUAAUGAAUGUUGUAAAGAAUGUGUGAUGUUUAACCCCAAGAAAUGUCGCUUUGAUGUGGCACUACUUUGGUCUAUUAUUGGAUUUUUUACUUUUAAUAUUAUUUUAUUGUUUGUAUAUUGCCUUUUGAGUAUUAGAAUUAGAAGGUCUUAUUAAUUAGUUAUCGUAGAUAAGUGGAAUAGAGUGAAAAACUACUGUAAUUGAUUAUUGUGAUGUGUCACAACUCACAAUUUAAUUGAUUCAGUCCAACCUGCACUAGUUUGUGGCGAGGGUGGUUGUUCGUUCGGUUUUAUUAUCUAUUUCUUUGAACGAUGAGUUCUGGAGCAAUUUACUCUGAACUUAAUCGUUUUCUUAAGUAUCUUAGGGAGUUAGAUUUUAGUAAUUUUUGUUUUAGUGAUUUUUUGUUUCGUUUUUCUUCCCUAAAAUCACUAAUCGAUGAGUAUAGUAGUCAUUGGUUAGUAAAUACGAAUGAAUUAGUCUGGUAUAGAACAAUCUGUGAGCAACGAUUGCAUCCUCAUCUUUUCGAUGCAAACAGGUUGUUAACACGGAUAAAUGUUUCAGAUUUGAAGCAUGACUUGAUAAUGAUUCGUGAUCAUUUUUCGAGUAUUGAUGAUUUUCUAAACAAGUAUCCGGCUAUACCAAUUCUUGUCUCAUUCACCAAAAAUAUUAGUGCGUUUUUAGAAGAUAAUGAGUGGGAAUCCGUUAUUCAUCAUACGGACUCACUCAAUCGUCUUGUUUUCCGAGAGUCGUGGUCAGACGGUUAUGGUUACGUUAACCACCAUCGUCUUUCAGCGUCGUCGCAUGAUUUUCAACAUAUGAAGUUAUGUGAUAUUUUUCGUUUGUCGAAGGAUAAGUUGAACAGUGGUGUGUUCACUUUCCUUCUUUAAUGUUUUCUUUUAGUAUAUUAAUAAAAAUCGAUAAAGAUAUUAGGGUAGAUUUGAUUGAUGUUUAUACCCUAGAGUCAUACACCUGAGAGAUUCGGAGUGUGUAUUAUAAAAACUCAAAAAAUAUAUGUUUCGUAUACGUAUUUCUAUUUAGAGUGUGUGUAUGAACGGUUUUCCUAAAUCGUCGUGAGACGGACCUUGGAAAACCUAGUAUUUAAAUAACUAGGUC